UUCCGGUUGAUCCCGCCGGACCUGACUGCUAUCGGAUUGAUACUAAGCCAUGCGAGUCAUUGUAGCAAUACAAGGCAGACGGCUCAGUAACGCGUAGUCAACCUACCCUAUGGACGGGAAUAACCUCGGGAAACUGAGAAUAAUGCCCGAUAGAACACUAUGCCUGGAAUGGUUUGUGUUCCAAAUGAUUUAUCGCCGUAGGAUGGGACUGCGGCCUAUCAGUUUGUUGGUGAGGUAAUGGCCCACCAAGACUAUUACAGGUACGGGCUCUGAGAGGAGUGGCCCGGAGAUGGGUACUGAGACACGGACCCAGGCCCUAUGGGGCGCAGCAGGCGAGAAAACUUUGCAAUGUGCGAAAGCACGACAAGGUUAAUCCGAGUGGUUUCUGCUAAAGGAACCUUUUGUCAGUCCUAGAAACACUGAUGAAUAAGGGGUGGGCAAGUUCUGGUGUCAGCCGCCGCGGUAAAACCAGCACCUCAAGUGGUCAGGAUGAUUAUUGGGCCUAAAGCAUCCGUAGCCUGCUUUGUUAGUUUUCGGUUAAAUCUGUACGCUCAACGUACAGGCUGCCGGGAAUACUGCAAAGCUAGGGAGUGGGAGAGGUAGACGGUACUCGGUAGGAAGGGGUAAAAUCCUUUGAUCUAUUGAUGACCACCUGUGGCGAAGGCGGUCUACCAGAACACGUCCGACGGUGAGGGAUGAAAGCUGGGGGAGCAAACCGGAUUAGAUACCCGGGUAGUCCCAGCCGUAAACCAUGCAAACUCAGUGAUGCAUUGGCUUGUGGCCAAUGCAGUGCUGCAGGAAAGCCGUUAAGUUUGCCGCCUGGGAAGUACGUACGCAGUAUGAAACUUAAGGGAAUUGGCGGGGGAGCACACAAGGGUGAAGCCUGCGGUUCAAUGGGAUUCACGCGGGA
rnacentral:rRNA from 1 species